rnacentral:rRNA from 1 species
GACGAACGCUGGCGGCGUGCUUAACACAUGCAAGUCGAACGGAAAGGCCCUGCUUUUGUGGGUUGCUCGAGUGGCGAACGGGUGAGUAACACGUGAGUAACCUGCCCCUGACUUUGGGAUAACUUCAGGAAACUGGGGCUCAUACCGGAUAGGAGCUCCUGCUGCAUGGUGGUGGUUGGAAAGUUUCGGCGGUUGGGGAUGGACUCGCGGCUUAUCAGCUUGUUGGUGGGGUAGUGGCUUACCAAGGCUUUGACGGGUAGCCGGCCUGAGAGGGUGACCGGCCACAUUGGGACUAAGAUACGGCCCAGACUCGUACGGGAGGCAGCAGUGGGGAAUAUUACAGAAUAAGCGGAAGCCAGAUGCAGCAACGCCGCGUGCGGGAUGACGGCCUUCGAGUGGAAAACCGCUUUGGCAUGUGACGAAGCGUGAGUGACGGUAAUGGGUAAAGAAGCACCGGCUAACUACGUG